GCACUCUUAGCUCAGUUGGCUAGAGCGCGCCCUUCACACGGGCGAGGUCGGAAGUUCGAAUCUUCCAGAGUGCA
rnacentral:tRNA from 1 species